rnacentral:rRNA from 1 species
AACGAACGCUGGCGGCAUGCCUAACACAUGCAAGUCGAACGAUUGCCUUCGGGUGAUAGUGGCGCACGGGUGCGUAACGCGUGGGAAUCUGCCCUUAGGUUCGGAAUAACAGCUGGAAACGGCUGCUAAUACCGGAUGAUAUCGCGAGAUCAAAGAUUUAUCGCCUGAGGAUGAGCCCGCGUUGGAUUAGGUAGUUGGUGGGGUAAAGGCCUACCAAGCCGACGAUCCAUAGCUGGUCUGAGAGGAUGAUCAGCCACACUGGGACUGAGACACGGCCCAGACUCCUACGGGAGGCAGCAGUGGGGAAUAUUGGACAAUGGGCGCAAGCCUGAUCCAGCAAUGCCGCGUGAGUGACGAAGGCCCUAGGGUUGUAAAGCUCUUUUACCCGGGAAGAUAAUGACUGUACCGGGAGAAUAAGCCCCGGCUAACUCCGUG